rnacentral:rRNA from 1 species
UUAUCAAACUUCGAAUGCCGCUAACUUAUACCCGGGAGUCAGACUGUGUGAGAUAAGUCUCACGGUCAAAAGGGAAACAGCCCAGAUCAUCAGCUAAGGUCCCAAAGUGCAGGUUAAGUGGAGAAGGAUGUGUCAGUGCACAGACAACCAGGAUGUUGGCUUAGAAGCAGCCACACAUUUAAAGAGUGCGUAAUAGCUCACUGGUCGAGUGCUGAUGCGCCGAAGAUUAACGGGGCUAAAACCUGCCACCGAAGCUAUGGAUUUGCCGCAAGGCAAGUGGUAGAGGAGCAAUGUGUACAGGCAGAAGCCGUACCGUCAGGAGCGGUGGACAGUACACAAGAGAGAAUGCCGGUAUGAGUAGCGAGAGUGAGGUGAGAAUCCUCACCGUCGAAAGCCAAAGGUUUCCUGAGGAAGGUUCGUCCUCUCAGGGUAAGUCGGGGACUAAGCCGAGGGCGGUAGAGCCGUAGGCGAUGACCAGCAGGUAGAGAUUCCUGCACCACCAGUGUAUCGUUUGAGGAAGCAGUGACACAGAAGGAUAGUCAGAGCGCGUUGAUGGUAGAGCGCGUCCAAGCAGUGAGGCUGAUACGCAGUAAAGUACACGUAUCGAAAGGCUGGGCUGUGACGGGGAGUUAAGUGAUAUGAAGCUGAUGAAUUCACGCUGGCGAGAAAAGCUGCUAACGAGAUAUACGGUGCCCGUACCGCAAACCGACACAGGUAGGCGAGGAGAGAAUCCUAAGACGAGCGAGAGAACCAUUGUUAAGGAACUCGGCAAAAUUACCUCGUAACUUCGGGAGAAGGGGUGCCUAUAGAGAUAUAGGUCGCAGAGAAUAGGCCCAAGCGACUGUUUAACAAAAACACAGGUCUGUGCUAAAUCGAGAGAUGAAGUAUACGGGCUGACGCCUGCCCGGUGCUGGAAGGUUAAGGGAAUGAGUCAGGAGCAAUCCGAAGCUUUGAACUGAAGCCCCAGUAAACGGCGGCCGUAACUAUAACGGUCCUAAGGUAGCGAAAUUCCUUGUCGGGUAAGUUCCGACCUGCACGAAUGGCGUAACGAUUUGGGCGCUGUCUCAACAGUGGACUCGGCGAAAUUGAAGUAUGCGUGAAGAUGCGCAUUACCCGCGACUGGACGGAAAGACCCCGUAGAGCUUUACUGUAGCCUGAUAUUGGAUUUUGGUAAUGAAUGUACAGGAUAGGUGGGAGACUGAGAGACAAGGACGUCAGUUUUUGUGGAGUCGACGUUGGGAUACCACUCUUGCAUUACUGAAAUUCUAACCUGUAGCCGUGAAACCGGUAUGGGGACAGUGUCAGGUGGGCAGUUUGAC